GGUAAUGUUACAUUAUGGAGAUAAGCCGUCUUUUUUUUAAGUGAAAAAUAGUAAUCUUACAUGUGUUUUAUGUAGUUUUUCCAUUUUUUAUGCUGUAUGUUUACAUAUUUCUUACAAUUUUCGAAAAUAAGUAAUAUUAAAAUGUAAAACUAUAUUUUAUGCCACGUGUUAUCUUUCGGGAGAGAUUUUUUCCGCUUAUGUGGACGCCCUAUGGAGCCUCAAAAGUUCCCUUUUAUUAGUAGAUUUAUAAAACGGUAAUGUUACAUUAUGGAGAUAAGCCGUCUUUUUUUUUAAGUGAAAAAUAGUAAUCUUACAUGUGUUUUAUGUAGUUUUUCCAUUUUUUAUGCUGUAUGUUUACAUAUUUCUUACAAUUUUCGAAAAUAAGUAAUAUUAAAAUGUAAAACUAUAUUUUAUGCCACGUGUUAUCUUUCGGGAGAGAUUUUUUCCGCUUAUGUGGACGCCCUAUGGAGCCUCAAAAGUUCCCUUUUAUUAGUAGAGAUUUGUUCAUUAAUUGGUUUUAACAUUUUGCAACACUAUAAUCUUUAUCGAUUGUAAAAUGACGAAUACAAAUGUUGCUUUCUUAAAUGUAUCAUCGUUGUUGAAGAGUUAACGUAUUACAUCUCAUUUUAAUUAUUUUUAAGACUUCAUACGCACAAAAUGAAAUUAAUUUUUGCAGCUGAUAUAAAUUACCAAAACCAAAAGGCAACAUUGAUUGUAUAAUGACGAAAGAGGAUUAGGUUUCCUGCUCUCGACUUUUUUAACUAUUGAUUUUCUAUAAGUGUUUCAUUUUCUACAUUUAUAAAAUGUUUUCGUUCUCGUUUCUGUUUCAUUGAUAUGAGUUUAGUUUUUUUUUAAACUUCUUUUAUGAAAUCGGUAAAUUACAAAAGUGUCAAUUUAAAAAGAUAGAUAUUUGAAAAAAAUUAGUUCCACUCUAGAUAUAUAUCUAAGAAUCAAAAUUUUGAAGAAAAUCACCGGCAAAAUCUAUUAACAGGUUAGUAUAUCAAGCUGUUAUAGAAUAUAAGUGCAGACUCAAAAUAUAAAUGUCUGUCUAGUAUAUAUUCACCAGUUCGGUCUAAAAGUCAUCUAAUUCUGUAACAACAAAAUAAAGUACUUAUUUUAUUAGUCUACGGUUGUGAGGUUUAGUUACUUAAAAGUAUACAAAUAAAAAAAAUAUAUAUAUAUAUACUUUACUAUUCUAGUAUAUGUUAACUAUUUAUAAACUAAGAAUUGUUUGAUUUAUUAAUUGAUAAACCAGAAAACGUAUGAUAAGUAAUUCAAAUAUCUCAUUCUUACAAAUAUAAUAGCUAGAUGUAUUAUGAAGAAACAAAUAUUAGACGAAUGAUCAAGUCUCUUAUUGUUCGAAUAAACUCAAAUGAGGUGAUUGGAAUCUUGUCAUGUUUUUUUAUUAAACAAAAUUUAGGAAUAAAAAUCAAAACUCAAUUAUUUAAUAUGAAUGAAAUAAUUUAUAUAGUGCUUCUAAUAUUAAAAAUCACUUUGAUUUGAAGAAAUGUGUUUUUGGGAUUGUGAGGAUCAAAUAAGAUAUUAGAAACCACAUAUUUAAAAUAAUUUGUAUGCAUAAAAGUAUAUACAUUAGAGUAAGCACAUAAAUCAAAACCAAUAUUUUUUGUUUAUUUAUAAUCACGUUUUUGGUAAAUAAAUCAAAACAAUUAUUUUAUUUACUUUAUAUGGAAUAAAUUAAAAUUUAGUGAUAUUUACAUAGAUACAUAGUAUAUUUUAAUAUAAGUAUUUAUUAUUGAUACACUUCCUACUCAUAUGAUUUUUUUAACAUUUGUAUAUUUGCUGUAACAAAAAUUUAAACGGUUAAUCACAAAAUUUUUAAUGCGAGAUUUUUCAAUACAAAUUUCAAAAUUAAAAUAUUAAGAUCUCAAUAAUGUUUCACUGCAAUUUGGAAAUUAACUUAUUUUUAUAUUUUUAAAUAGUAUAUAAUUUAUUUCAAAUGAUAAUGAUAUACAUAUAUAUAUAUAUAUAUAUUAAUGAGACUUCAUAUUCAUACGAUUUAUGAAGACUGGGCAUUUUACUCGACCCGAACCCGUAUAUGAAUCUGAACCGAAGUAGCAAAAUACCAGAAAGCUUAUUGAAUUCAGAGAUAUUGAAUAUCCGAACCCGAAUGGAUAUCCAAAGAUAACCAAACAUAAGUAUACUUAACCCUAUAUUUCCAGUUUACUUCCCUCAUUUUAUUCAAAAUAUUUAUAUUAAUAAUGCACAUUGCUCAAAAUUAGAUAACUUUACUCUAUUAAAAGGGGAAUAUAAGCUCCAUUGAACAUAUCCACCUCAGCAAAUUAAAUCUGCCAAUGAAAUAUGAUUUUUUGCCGUGUCACUAUUUAUUAAAUCCAAUAAAACACUUCAUCUUUAUUGUUCUUAUUGAAGUCUCUGAAAUUGUCGUUAUCCUACAUUUAAGAACCUCCAUUUUUUAAAACUUGAUUCCCUUCGUUGACCCUUGCAAGAUGAGAGACGAUGACGUUUCAACUUCCGUUGUUUCUCUCUUUAUAACUCUUUCGCUGAAUCUUAGGAAAAUGUAUCACUUCUAAUAAAAUCCUGCUAAAUUUUAGAUGUAAUAUUUAGUUUACAAAACGAAAUAAAAUAACCAUACACUACAUUCUCAUCUUUAUUGUGUUAAUCAUGUUAUUCUUUUUGGUUUCGUAUGAUGGAAACCUAUUUUACAACACAUAAUCCAUGAUACAUUUGAGAAACUAAAAAUAAAAACUUAAGUCUUUUUCAAAAAUAAAAAAUAAAAAAUAAAAAUAGAAAACUCUGUACUACAAAAUAUAUGCAGAACAUAGUAAAAGACAUUCGAUUUAAAUGUGUCAAACAAGAAUAAAUUCUAAAUUUACACUAAAUACAAUCUAGAAUGCAAAAAUAUACAUACAAAAAUGACAAGUUUUACCAAAUUAUACCAUAUCAUUCGCGUGUAAAUGCCCACGUAGUAUAUGAAAUAAUAUGUUCAAAUAAUAGAAAAAUUGUCAGAUCACUAUGAUCCAAAUAACAGAUCACUAUUUUAAAAGAAUAAAUAAAUAUGCAAAGUUAUAAAUUUUAAAAUUACAAGUAACACGUAAAAUUGUAGGACAAAACAAUUGAGUUCAAUAAAUAAAAUUACAUAAAGUUAACGAAUUUUUAAAAAUAAAUGCAAAAAAUAAUAUAAAAUAUAAACCUAGCGCGGUUAAAGAAUCUAGUAUACAUAUAAUUAUGGGCAAAAUCAUUUGCUACUCACUUAAAAUACAUAUGAAGCUCUUGUUUCUUGCAUUAACAAAAGUUACAUCUAAAAUUUCAAAACAACAACUAAAUUAGUGUCUUUCUAUUUUAAAAGUUUUAUAAACCUAUUAAUAGUUGAAUAUUUAAAAAAUUAGAAAACAGUUAAGUUAAAAGUAUAUUUUAAAUAUAAAAUUUAAACAAUAAAUAAUUUAUUUAUUUUUUCUUCAAAAUUUCAAUAUAUGAACCAGACCCAAAAUAUCUGAAACCAUACAUAAAAUACCCAAAUCCAACCGGAAGUGUAGAAAUACCCGAACGGUUUCUAUAUCUUUAUACUGAAAUACCCAAAAUUUUUGAAUACUUGAUAUGAACUCGAACGGGUAUCUAAAAGCCCACCCCUACAAAAGUUGUUUUUUAAAAUUCAAAAUAUAACAUUAUAAAAAAAAUUAUUAUAUGCUUAAUGUGAUUGUUUAAUUCUUUUAAUAAUAUAAAAUUAAACAAAAAAAAUGAGAUGCUACAAAAUUUUUUUUUAUCAAAUAUGUAUUAUUCAUAAUCAUUAAUUAUCAUAUAUAUAUAUAUUAAUCAUAUUAGGUAAUUCCAUAAUUUUUAUUUAAGGAUAUAAUUGAGAAUAUUCUUUUGUAUAGUACUAAUCAAUUUGAUAGUUAAUUUAAUAAAAAUCAUAGUAUAUGUUUAUAUGGACCAACUUCUCGUGAUGACACGUGGCUACGAAACAUGUUCCAGUGGUAUGUGAUUAAUAUAGAGGAUUAGUCAUGUCUAAACUUGGAAUUGAAUAAUAUUUGAGUCACAUCAUAUCUAGUGUUUUCACUACUAGUCGAUGACUACUUGUUUUUCUUAUAGACAAGAUAAUUAGAUGGGCUGAAUUGACCCAAUAGGGAAACACCAUAUCCAUAAUAGCCCGGGUUGACAGACCUAAUAAGCACCGAGAUCGAUCAGUAAAAGCAAGAAAAACAUUUUUUUUUUUUUAAACGGAACUUUUAUCUCUUCUUGGUAUCUCCUACGAGGUCAGGUAUGAUGGAGAUGAUGCAAAUUCCGGUUUUUGAUGGAGACAACCAUGAGAUUUGGAGCAUAAAGAUGAGGACUCUUUUGAUGGCUCGUGACCUGUGGGAUGUUGUAGAGAGUGGAGCCUCUGUAGAGAAAACUCUGAAAAUCAAGGACAUGACGGCUCUUCAUAUGCUGCAAAUGUCGGUAACAGACUCUCUUUUUCUCCGGAUAGCAAGAGCCACAUCGUCAAAGCAAGCGUGGGAGAUUCUUACGGUAGAAUUUGGAGAGACCCAUAAGAUCCUGCUUAGGAAAAGGGGGAAUCUUAGGACCAAGUUUAGAGGAAUGAUGAUGGAGGAGGAGGAAAGCGUUGCUGUUUAUACUAAAAAGCUGAUGGAGGUUGUGAAUCAGCUUAAGUUCUAUGGGUCUGACAUUUCUGAUGAGGAAGUCAUCCGUAAGAUAUGUUGCAGCUUGCUCUCAAGGUUUGAUGGUAUUGUAAGCUCCAUGUGCGGUGGAAAUAUGACACUCACUGACGUUGUGUGGUGCCUGCGAGCGUGGGAAUUCGAUACAGAUGAGCUUGAGAAGAGAGAAGCUCCGCACAACCACAACAAGAGAAGGAGACAAUAGAGAGCUUUUUCAAGCUAUCUUUUAUUCUGUUUCUGAAAAACAAUUUAGGAAGUAAAUGUUGCUACGUUGGAGACUGAGAUGUGUUUUAUACUUUUGAUGAUGAAACAAAACAGUCUCAAAAUGUUAUGUUUUGGUAGUUUUUCUUGGCUCUUAGAUAUUAAGAUGUUGUCCUUGACUUACAAAAUGUUCCUUAGCACAGUGUUUAAAUGUCCUUGACUUAUAAGAAGAAAGUGUUGGUCAGUUUAA